rnacentral:rRNA from 1 species
ACUCCUCGGGAGGCAGCAGUGGGGAAUAUUGCACAAUGGGCGCAAGCCUGAUGCAGCCAUGCCGCGUGUAUGAAGAAGGCCUUCGGGUUGUAAAGUACUUUCAGCAGUGAGGAAGGUGGGUAUGUUAAUAGCAUAUUCAUUUGACGUUAGCUGCAGAAGAAGCACCGGCUAACUCCGUGCCAGCAGCCGCGGUAAUACGGAGGGUGCGAGCGUUAAUCGGAAUUACUGGGCGUAAAGCGCAUGCAGGUGGUUUGUUAAGUCAGAUGUGAAAGCCCGGGGCUCAACCUCGGAAUUGCAUUUGAAACUGGCAAACUAGAGUACUGUAGAGGGGGGUAGAAUUUCAGGUGUAGCGGUGAAAUGCGUAGAGAUCUGAAGGAAUACCGGUGCGAAGGCGGCCCCCUGGACAGAUACUGACACUCAGAUGCGAAAGCGUGGGGAGCAAACAGGAUUAGAACCCUGGUAGGCUCU